GACGAACGCUGGCGGCGUGCCUAAUACAUGCAAGUAGAACGCUGAAGAGAGGAGCUUGCUCUUCUUGGAUGAGUUGCGAACGGGUGAGUAACGCGUAGGUAACCUGCCUUGUAGCGGGGGAUAACUAUUGGAAACGAUAGCUAAUACCGCAUAACAAUGGAUGACUCAUGUCAUUUAUUUGAAAGGGGCAAAUGCUCCACUACAAGAUGGACCUGCGUUGUAUUAGCCAGUAGGUGAGGUAACGGCUCACCUAGGCGACGAUACAUAGCCGACCUGAGAGGGUGAUCGGCCACACUGGGACUGAGACACGGCCCAGACUCCUACGGAAGGCAGCAGUAGGGAAUCUUCGGCAAUGGGGGCAACCCUGACCGAGCAACGCCGCGUGAGUGAAGAAGGUUUUCGGAUCGUAAAGCUCUGUUGUAAGUCAAGAACGAGUGUGAGAGUGGAAAGUUCACACUGUGACAGUAGCUUACCAGAAAGGGACGGCUAACUACGUGCCAGCCGCCGCCGUAA
rnacentral:rRNA from 1 species